UUAGCCCUAAACACAGAUAAUUACAUAAACAAAAUUAUUCGCCAGAGUACUACUAGCAACAGCUUAAAACUCAAAGGACUUGGCGGUGCUUUAUAUCCUUCUAGAGGAGCCUGUUCUAUAAUCGAUAAACCCCGAUAAACCUCACCAAUUCUUGCUAAUACAGUCUAUAUACCGCCAUCUUCAGCAAACCCUAAAAAGGAAAAAAAGUAAGCGUAAUUAUGAUACAUAAAAACGUUAGGUCAAGGUGUAACCUAUGAAAUGGGAAGAAAUGGGCUACAUUCUCUACACCAAGAGAAUCAAGCACGAAAGUUAUUAUNAAACCAAUAACCNAAGGAGGAUUUAGCAGNAA
rnacentral:rRNA from 1 species